GUGCAACGUGGCGUUGGUGGAUGAAGCGAGACAUGAUGUCCCAGAUGUGCUCAAUUGGAUUCAGGUCUGGGGAACGGGCGGCCCAGUCCAUAGCAUCAAUGCCUUCCUCUUGCAGGAACUGCUGACACACUCCAGCCACACGAGGUCUAGCAUUGUCUUGCAUUAGGAGGAACCCAGGGCCAGCCGCACCAGCAUAUGGUCUCACAAGGGGUCUGAGGAUCUCAUCUCGGUACCUAAUGGCAGUCAGGCUAACUCUGGCGAGCACAUGGAGGGCUGUGCGGCCCCCCAAAGAAAUGCCACCCCAUACCAUGACUGACCCACCGCCAAACCGGUCAUGCUGGAGGAUGUUGCAGGCAGCAGAACGUUCUCCACGGCGUCUCCAGACUCUGUCACGUCUGUCACAUGUGCUCAGUGUGAACCUGCUUUCAUCUGUGAAGAGCACAGGGCGCCAGUUGCAAAUUUGCCAAUCUUGGUGUUCUCUGGCAAAUGCCAAACGUCCUGCACGGUGUUGGGCUGUAAGCACAACCCCCACCUGUGGACGUCGGGCCCUCAUACCACCCUCAUGGAAUCUGUUUCUGACCGUUUGAGCAGACACAUGCACAUUUGUGGCCUGCUGGAGGUCAUUUUGCAGGGCUCUGGCAGUGCUCCUCCUGCUCCUCCUUGCACAAAGGCGGAGGUAGCGGUCCUGCUGCUGGGUUGUUGCCCUCCUACGGCCUCCUCCACGUCUCCUGAUGUACUGGCCUGUCUCCUGGUAGCGCCUCCAUGCUCUGGACACUACGCUGACAGACACAGCAAACCUUCUUGCCACAGCUCGCAUUGAUGUGCCAUCCUGGAUGAGCUGCACUACCUGAGCCACUUGUGUGGGUUGUAGACUCCAUCUCAUGCUACCACUAGAGUGAAUGCACCGCCAGCAUUUAAAAGUGACCAAAACAUCAGCCAGGAAGCAUAGGAACUGAGAAGUGGUCUGUGGUCACCACCUGCAGAACCACUCCUUUAUUGGGGGUGUCUUGCUAAUUGCCUAUAAUUUCCACCUGUUGUCUAUUCCAUUUGCACAACAGCAUGUGAAAUGUAUUGUCAAUCAGUGUUGCUUCCUAAGUGGACAGUUUGAUUUCACAGAAGUGUGAUUGACUUGGAGUUACAUUGUGUUGUUUAAGUGUUCCCUUUAUUUUUUUGAGCAGUGUAUAUUUUGAGGCAUGCCUUGUAAGAAGCUAUAUUUAUUGCACCUGUUACUGAGAGUACUGUACCAAUUUAAAUGAAAUGUGGUAAUAGUACCCUAACAAUGUAAUGUGUGUAAGAGACAGAUCAGAGUGGCAGCCAGUCUCAAACCUUGAACGGUUGAGUUUUUAGCCAUGUACUUUCGAUCUGUUUUGCCCUGUAGUCACAGCCAGUUUAGAAGCCUUUGUUUGGGCCUCUACACAUGCAAGUGAUAUAAAACAAAACAAAUAUUUGUUGGUAUGCUGUAAUAUAUAUAAUUAUACCUUUAUUUAUUUUUUUACCUUUAUUUAACUAGGCAAGUCAGUUAAGAACAAAUUCUUAUUUUCAAUCACAGCCUAGGAACAGUGGAUUAACUGCCUUGUUCAGAGGCAGAACAACAGAUUUUUACCUUGGGGAUUCGAUCCUGCAACCUUUCAGUUACUAGUCCAACGCUCUAACCACUAGGCUACCUGCUGCCCCAAACAAGGCACUGUUGUCAAUUACUGUAAUUUUAUUACAAUACCAUUUAACAAUAAAGUACUGUAUUGCUGUAUAUUUACUGCAGCAUUCUGUAAAUGAUGGUUCAUUGUGGUUAAUGUUUGUUGUAGUGGAAAGAAUCGCUGGCUCAUUAACAUAUUUAGAGGCAUGCCUUGUCAGUGGCUAUAUUUGUUGCACAUGUUAGUGAGAAUACUGUAUCAAUCGAACUGGAAUGUGGUAGUAGUGCCUUAACAAUUGACUAUGUAUAUAUACGGGACAGAUCAGAGUGGCAGUAAGUCUUAAACCUUUACUGGUUCAGUGUUUUGCCAAGUCCUUUUGAUCUGUUUUGCCCUGCAGCCACUGCCAGUUUGGAAGCCUUUGUUUAGGCCUCUAGAAGUGCAAGUGAUAUAAAACUGUAAAUAAUCAUAAAAGUUCUGUAACAUACAAAUACCUAGUAGCCACCUGCAUGCAUCAAUCACAUGUAAUUACAGUAAAAUACUAUGAAAUACGAAUAUUAUGAUUACAGUAGAAUUUACUUUCUUAUAGUACAGCAGGCAAUUUUUACAGCACUGUGCUGUACCAUUGCUCUGAAUUACAGUAACUUACAGGAAGCUGGUGGCAAGUUAUUGUGAAUAUUACAGUAACGUACUUGGCACUAGCUAGAGAUGGGCAAAGAUACAUCAAAAGGUAUCUUGUAACAAAUAAAAAAUACCUUAAAGACCAAUGUUUCCUUAACUACUAUAACAUUCUCAGUAAUGGUUACAGAAACAUUUUACUUUUACUUGCUAUGACAGUAAUGUUUUUUUCUCCAUCAACCUCCUU
rnacentral:lncRNA from 1 species